AAUAAAAUAUUAAAAACAAUCUUAAAACCAUCUAUUUCACUAGUGAAAACAGAAAUAUGACCAGUAAUUCCACUGUAUGGAAUGCCUUCCUCGUGCACGACAUCAUCUAAUACUUUGGCAGUGCUUAUGAGGUGGUGUGUUCCUUUCCUUUGGUUAGUGAGCACCCUGCGAGGUCCAGUGCCUGCUCCGGCACAUUCUGCGUCUCCAAACCACUGGGAUCUUACUUUUGGGUCAACCCCUAACGACUUCCAUCCUGUCUCCUCCACUCAUUAGUACAUAAUGAUGUUUAUAAGCCCUGGCCCGAGAAUCUGGAGGCCAGGGUUUUAAUCCUGGGUCCUAUUUAUUAAUUGUGUGAGCCUCUGUGUAUUUCUUCACCUCUUUGACCCUCAGUUUCCUGGUCUCCAAAUCAGAGGAUGUAAAUGGGGCUCUCCGGGAUGCUGGGAGGGGAAAGGUGGCAGGGAUGCAGGGACGCAAAAGGACCGGGAUGGGCCCAUGCUGGGAAUGAGCGCUUUGCUCUCCCUCCUCCCUUGGUUCUCCGACUCCUUAGAUUCCAGGGAGGGGAGCCGCACCUGUCACAGUGCGCGGUUCCUGGCCCCAUCAGGGCUCACGGUGGGGCUGGCCCUUGAAGGGAUUUGCGGGCCGGCUAUCCCAGAGGAGGACACCAGAGGGCGCCCCGCACCGUCGCCCGCCUGCUUGGCUGCGUGUGCGGAGCAGUUACCGCCGGACCGCGCGGCACCCACGCCCAGUUGAGGUCGGUUCUGAGUUGAAAUCAGGAGUUCCGUGUGCUUGCAAGUCUCGUCACCGCUUGGGGCGGUAAAGAACCGAGCAGGAUUUAGGUGGCAGGGCAAACUGUCUGCCUUCAGAGCGCGUGUGCCUGUAAGACCCUCUAGCUCCUUGGAAACAAGAACCCAGAGGCAAGUGCAGAGGCUGCGUCCGCGGCCCCUGCUCCUCCCUGCUGCUCCCGUACCCGAAGCCCCAGCCGUGUGGCGCGCGCCUGGGAAGUGGGCCCUGAACCCAGGAGGGCCGGCGUGUCUCAGGCACAAACUGCCCGGCCCUGGCCUCUUAGCACACGGGAGGCCACACAUCGGAAGGGACGAGAGGGCUGCCUUCCAGCUGUGGCCAUGACCUUGCCAAUACAGAGGAGGAAGCCAGCUCAGCACCGCGGUCCGUAGGCACAGGGAUGGUUCCCAGGGAUGGGCAGGAGCGCGCUCGCGGCUCCCGGCCGAAGAAGGCGUGAAGACACGGCGUAAAUUUGGGAAAGCUUUUGAGGUUAACGUGGCUACCAUAAGGCGUCGGUCGAUGAACAGGCCGGCCUGACCGGGUCAUCUAGAAAUGUCACUUAAGCAGCAUCUUAUUCACUGAUGACGCCCGGGACCCUGAGAACGUGUUGGUUUGUGAUGACAAGGGUCGCGUGAAGGUCUUCUGUGCCUUACAGGCUUUAACGGGUGAUCAUGGUUUUUAAACACUCCCCCAACGCCUCCUGGUUGUUGCCCUGGGCUCCCCCGCGCAUAGCCGCACCUCUGUGUCACACAAGAACAGAGGUGGGAGAGCCAGCAUCUGGGGACUCCAAGGGGACUGCCUCCGGGCCACGUGACAGGCACAGCGUGCCGGAAGCCAAGCGUGGCAGGUGGAACAGCAGACAGACCAUCGAAUGCUGACGACGGCGGGACUCCCCCAGCUGCCGGGCCCAGCCCCUCACCUCACAGAGGCAUUCAUUGCUUUGCAGCCUCCGUGUCUGCACGCUUACGCUCUGCAGGGUGCCCACGACGAGGUAUUGCUCCCGGGUCCCACCCCGUCUCUGUCGCUCUGCCUUCACGCGAGGCUGAGAUUGACCAGCAGCUCGAACUGCAGCUGUUUGCAGGAACAUGCAACCUGCACCAGGUUCGAAAUACGAAACCCAGCAAACUUGCUGGGAGGUGUUCUUGGGACUCGUACGUCAUGCGUGCAUCUUAGGCUCGGAGCUGUGGCUUUUGAAAUAGAUGCAGUGAUGCCUGAUUUGUGCCCCUGGGUGGCGCAGUCUUA